rnacentral:rRNA from 1 species
UACGAAGGGGGCUAGCGUUGCUCGGAAUCACUGGGCGUAAAGCGCACGUAGGCGGACUCUUAAGUCGGUGGUGAAAUCCUGGAGCUCAACUCCAGAACUGCCUUCGAUACUGGGAGUCUCGAGUUCGGGAGAGGUGAGUGGAACUGCGAGUGUAGAGGUGAAAUGCGUAGAUAUCAGGAGGAAUACCGAUGGCGAAGGCAGGUCUCUGGGCUGACACUGACGCUCAUGCACGAAAGCGUGGGGAGCAAACAGG